UGGAAAGAAAGAAAGUAAAGGAAAGCCCCUAAAUUUCGAAAACCCUCCCCCUCACUGCAAUCUUUCUCAAUCUCUCCACUGCCAGCGUCGGUGGCUUCUGCGACUGAGCGCUGACCAGCCAAACGCACCGCUACCACCUCUCAUCGGCGUCUUCUCCCUCACUCUCAGGUCAGACGACCUACGAGGAUUAUUUGUGCAAUUUGGUCCUCUUAAGGACACUUAUUUGUCACGAGAUUAUUAUUCUGGAUUCAGUCGAAGUUGGGUUACAGUACAUUGAGAAGUUCAAGUCUUGAAGAAUUUCAUCUCAAUUUUUUCUUAGCCACUCAAAAGGUUAGCAUGGUGAUGUUAAUAUUCUCUUGUUAGAGCUCUCUAUCGAUGUUUCUGUCACUCUCAAUCGAUAGAUUAAUGAUCAAUGAUGCCACUAGUUUAAGUGGCAUUUUGGAAAAACAUGCUAAGUUUUUUUUUUAAUAAGAUUCUUUGUAAAUAUUAAAUAUUAGGGGUGGGUGUGGAAAUGGAUGGAGAGAUUGGAGAAUGAAAUCUGUCCUUUUUUUUUUUUUUUUUUGGAGAGGGGAUUUUCAAGAUGAGCGUAUAUCAAAAGACGAAUGAGAUAUUUAAAAAAAGAGUUGUAAACUCUUUAGGAUUGUAUGAAGGAAAGAAACAGAUAAACGAUAUAAUAUUAUUUAUGAAUGUAUUGAAAUGCUAAUGAUGUUGUGUGAUUGUGUUUGUCCCGAUAUAGGAUGUUUGAGUCACACAACAAGCCUUGAAUUAUGUUAUUCAA